rnacentral:rRNA from 1 species
AUCCCCCAUAGGCCUGAGGUACUGGAAGGUCCUCAGGCCGAAAGGGGCUCUGCCCGCCCGAGGAUGGGCCGGCGGCCGAUUAGGUAGUUGGUGGGGUAACGGCCCACCAAGCCGAAGAUCGGUACGGGCCAUGAGAGUGGGAGCCCGGAGAUGGACACUGAGACACGGGUCCAGGCCCUACGGGGCGCAGCAGGCGCGAAACCUCCGCAAUGCGGGCAACCGCGACGGGGGGACCCCCAGUGCCGUGGCAACGCCACGGCUUUUCCGGAGUGUAAAAAGCUCCGGGAAUAAGGGCUGGGCAAGGCCGGUGGCAGCCGCCGCGGUAAUACCGGCGGCCCGAGUGGUGGCCGCUAUUAUUGGGCCUAAAGCGUCCGUAGCCGGGCCCGUAAGUCCCUGGCGAAAUCCCACGGCUCAACCGUGGGGCUUGCUGGGGAUACUGCGGGCCUUGGGACCGGGAGAGGCCGGGGGUACCCCUGGGGUAGGGGUGAAAUCCUAUAAUCCCAGGGGGACCGCCAGUGGCGAAGGCGCCCGGCUGGAACGGGUCCGACGGUGAGGGACGAAGGCCAGGGGAGCGAACCGGAUUAGAUACCCGGGUAGUCCUGGCUGUAAAGGAUGCGGGCUAGGUGUCGGGCGAGCUUCGAGCUCGCCCGGUGCCGAAGGGA